AAUAGGCUUUUUUGAAAUUCAAUUGAAAAUACUGGAGCAAGGCGGGAGGAGGAGCAGCUGAACACACACUACCUGCUAUAAAUAUGCACAGCUUUGUUAAUCAGCUGGGUGGGCCAGAGAGAAAUGCUUUGCAGGCUGGAUCUGAUUGCUGGGCCUGAUUUUGCCCAUCCCCUGGUACCCUGGUGCUUUGUAAUGCAACAUCACAGACAUGGUGGCAAGGCUGGAGUCAUGGACUGGUUUUAUGUUAUACAUGUUGGUGAGGGGAGAAGUGUGAUAGAGAAAAAGAUGGAGCUAUACAAUUUGGCCUGGGAUUUCUCUUGUGACUGUCCCAGCUGAUGAAAAUGAUUCAUUAUCUAGUGUCACACAGCAUCUUUACUUGGUAAUUAAAGAGAAAGAACCUCAAAUUAAUUUCUGUUUUGUGGUACCCAGCCCUCUGCCCCUCACAGCAGACGGAAUCUGAUCCAAAAAUAUACAUUAACUGACAAUGCUUCAUGGGAACUUGACUGAGCUUUGCUGUGUUGCUUGGCAACAUCAUCCUCUCAUUCCUUUAAGUCCAACUGCCAGCAGGUAUUUAGCCAUUGCUAGAAGGUGAUGACUCCCUUACUGGCCUAGGUUUAAUUGUCUCCCAGACAUAAAGGGUCUGAUUCUCAUUUACGUUAGGGCUACUUCACACUGCUCUGUCAGCAUAACUGAGCAUAAAGCCCAAAGAAAACAGCAAGAGUUGGAGCUAGAAGUGGCUUGUGGGAAUGAUUUCAUUUUAUGGAGGUUAGAUUUUAGCCAUAAACAUGAAAGCUUUAUAUUCAGUUAUUUUCUGUGAUUUCCAAAGGGAUUAAAAAAAACCCCUCUUUUAGAAGUACUUCCAGAUGGGGACUUGUGGAGGUCUUGUGUACCCAUUAAAAUAAUGAUGUGAAGGCAUGGUAUCCCUCACAGUCAUUUACACCAGAUUUCUAGGGUGUCAAUUACUAACUUAGCAGUUGCUGCUGUAUCUCUGCAUCAUAAAUGUUGUUCUUAUUUUCUGAUAUGGAAAUCUUUAUUCUUUCCCCAGUCAUUGAUGUUGAACAAAUCAAGAUUUCUGAGGGCCAAAUAUGCAGUGAUACAAAUUCAAGUUGUGAAAAAUAAGAUCACAUUUAGAAAAAAGAAAAUCACUUAAAUAAAUCAAAUACAAAUAAUGAAGUAGUCACAGACUGUGUAGUCUGGAAAAAAUUACUUGGAACAAAGAUAUUGCUCUAAAUUAUUCUUAGGCAGUGUUACCUUUUAUUGGUGUUGUUUUGCCUUUUUCUAUAUUCUCAGUGUCUAGUUUAAAUCCGAAAUAACAUCCUCUAUACGAGAGGCACACAAGGUAUAGUAACAAAAGAGAUCCUUAACCAGUAUUGCUGGGAUCUAAAACAGAUUCAAAGCCAUAGAAGAUUUAGUCCAACAGAAGAGUAUCUUGAAAGACUCCCUGCUUUAAAAAGAGCUUUAUUGGUUUCAUCCCAUUGUGUUUAACUGCAGCAGAGAGCACUGCAAAAAACAAAUCUGAAUUCUACCUCAGAGAAAGGAGACAAAUAUAUUAACACAAGCAAGGAACUGAAGGAAAUCUAAGGGGCCGCUAAACAGUUUUAAAGGGUUCUAGCAUUUUUGUCAAACAGGCAUGGAAUGCAAACUGUUCAUCUGCUGAUAUCUUGGACUGCUUUAAGAGGCAUUCAAAGCACAGAAGGACUGGAAAAGUGCAAGAAAAAUGCAUACAAAUGAAAGCUUUUCUGUGUUACUACUCCCACAUCCCACUAGGAUGAUUUCCUUUCUGCAUCCCCUCUGUGUAUUAUAUCUCCUGCCUGAGCACCUCAUAACCUCAUCUUGGGGACCUGAAUAAUGCAAAUAAUUAAAGAAAAUAAACUAAAUGUGUGGGUGUAUAGGAUUCUCUUCCCCACAGAGAUUUCCCAUCAUCACACACUAUGCCACAUUGCAGCAGAAUACUAGUGCCAUGAUGCCUCUACUCUACUAAGUGGAUGAUGACAUCACAUCUAGACACAGAUACCAGCUUGGAUCUCCGUGCUGCUGGGAUUGAAAAGCUAUUGCAUCUGCAAAUGCUGCAUUUUAAAAGAAAUUGUGCAAAGAAAGAGCUUCAAUUUCCAGAAUUUGAAAGCUCUGCUGGUGUGGAACCCCCCCUGCAGCUAGAAUAUGUAAAUUCCACGGCCUGGAACUACUUGGUUAGACACCACAUGAAUACAGAUAUGUGAGCACUGAUCUGGAAACAGAACUUGAAUCCUAUCUGGAGUUUGCAUCCACUGCAUGUUUGUUUUUGCGUGUAUUAUUGUGCAUUGGCCAAGACUGAAGGUCACCAGACAGCACAUUCUUCUCACUGCAGCCGCAGAUUAGGUGAGAAUAACCUCCUAUCCUGUGGUAGGUUAUUUCCAGAUGGCAAGAACUGUCACCUUUGGUUUAACAAUGUAAUAUACCUAAGGCAAUGAACUAUCCAUUUAUUUAUUUAUUUUUUCAAUUAAUUCUGCUACCAUUGCAAAAUGUGUUUUACAUUUUAUCUCUAGAGCUAUCUAUCUAUACUGCUAAAUUUUCCUAAUACAUUUUCUUUAGAAACUCAAUCUGGAGAUGGAUGGGGAAAACACUUAUUCUCCAUUUAUUCACCGUCUCCCAGUCUCCUGUCAGGCAGUUAUCUUACGGUGAUACAACUACAGAGAUUAUGAGUUCCUGAGAGGCAAAAGCUGCAGGGAAGUGUGUCUAUGGGAGAAACCUGAAUAGAUGCAAAGGUAUACAAAUUUUGAUUCAAUGCAGCACAAGAAACAUAGUCACACCUUUUAAACAUAAUGGUAUUUAGGUUUCUGAAUUCUAAUUUACCUAAAGGUUUGGUUUAACACAUUGAUACAAUCACCAUUUAAGACAGUGUAAUUUACUGUCACUG